ACACCUGCAAUCCCAGCACUUUGGGAGGCUGAGGCGGGCGGAUCGCCUGAGCUCAGGAGUUUAAGACCAGCCUGGCCAACAUGGCAAAACCCUGUCUUUACUAAAAAUACAGAAAACUUAGCUGGGCACAGUGGUGUGAGCCUGUAGUCCCAGCUACUUGGGAGGCUGAGGCAGGAGAAUUGUUUGAACCCGGAAGUGGAGGCUUCAGUGAGCCGAGAUCAUGCCACAGCUCUCCAGCCUGGAUGACAGAGAGAGACUGUCUCAAAAAAAAAAAAAAUCCACACUGAUCCCUCCUCGUACUAGCAUGCCCUGGUACUUCGGAAUAACAAAGAAGGAGAAAGAAAAAAAGGAAGCAUGUGGCUGGUAGUGACUUUAGAGAUCAUUGAUUCGAACACUCUCAACAGGCUCCAAAAGAAAUUGCAACUGUGAAGCAAGGGGGCUUUGCACAGGCGAUGGGGAGAGAGGCGUUGCGGGGUGCGUGGUUUCGGAGAGCUGGAGCUGCCAAGCCCCUUGGACUGGAGCUGCAUCUCCAGCGGAUGAGCCCGGGCACUGAAGUUCAUUUUCCCUUCUGCUCCCCACCUGCCUAAUGCGUGGGAUGGGACCCACUCCUACCAGGGGAGGACAGACAGGCUAAGGUGCCUCCUGGUGGCUGUGUGGCUCUCGAAGGAGGGGAAGAGGUGGGGAUAAGAACGCUCUCUCUUAGUUCUGUGCUGGCUUGGGAAAGGGAGGAUGAAGAUAGAACCACUAAAUGACUGAGGGCUCUGGAAGGAGGCUUAGAAACAAGAACU
rnacentral:lncRNA from 10 species